AGUGGCGAACGGGUGAGUAACACGUGGGCAACCUGCCCAAAGGAGGGGGAUAACACUUGGAAACAGGUGCUAAUACCGCAUAACCAUAGUUACCGCAUGGUAACUAUGUAAAAGGUGGCUAUACUACCGCUUUUGGAUGGGCCCGCGGCGCAUUAGCUAGUUGGUAGGGUAAAGGCUUACCAAGGCAAUGAUGCGUAGCCGAAUUGAGAGGUUGAUCGGCCACAUUGGGACUGAGACACGGCCCAAACUCCUACGGGAGGCAGCAG
rnacentral:rRNA from 1 species